rnacentral:rRNA from 1 species
AGAUUGAACGCUGGCGGCAGGCCUAACACAUGCAAGUCGAGCGGUAGAGAGGUGCUUGCACCUCUUGAGAGCGGCGGACGGGUGAGUAAAGCCUAGGAAUCUGCCUGGUAGUGGGGGAUAACGCUCGGAAACGGGCGCUAAUACCGCAUACGUCCUACGGGAGAAAGCAGGGGACCUUCGGGCCUUGCGCUAUCAGAUGAGCCUAGGUCGGAUUAGCUAGUUGGUGAGGUAAUGGCUCACCAAGGCGACGAUCCGUAACUGGUCUGAGAGGAUGAUCAGUCACACUGGAACUGAGACACGGUCCAGACUCCGUACGGGAGGCAGCAGUGGGAUAGUUGGACAUGGCGAAGCCUGAUCCAGCCAUGCCGCGUGUGUGAAGAAGGUCUUCGGAUUGUAAGCAACGUUUAAGGUUGGAAGGAGGUCUAAGUUAACCUAAGUUAACGUUAGUUGUUUUAGACGUUUACCGACGUAGAAUGUA